AGAAAAUACUGAGGAUUCUUCCAGUUUACGCUUGGCCCUAUUCACUAAAGGCUGAACCUCCCAACUUAGGAUUUUUGCAGAGAGAACCACAUCCACCAGCGUACUGCAGUCAGAGUGUAUAAUUAUCUCUCUUUCUAGUCUAUUUGGGGCAAUCUUUGAGGAGAUAAAAUCUAGGGUUUCGACCAGCACUUGAGCCUCUGCUAUUUCAGCUGAUUUUGCCUCUAUGGAUUUAGAAAACUCAUCAAUGAUCCUCCCAAGGGCGUCCUUGCAUAUACAAGCCACAGCUGCAGAUGAGGGGGGGGCAGUUGCUGUUGGGAGUCUGAAGCGUGGCCUUCGUCUUCAAAAUCCAGAUCUGAACUUGUGGAGCACUCACUUCCUACUGCAUUCUCGGAUCUGCGCAGAUCCAUCUCUUUCUCGAAGCUGGCGUUAACGGUACUGCAAUCUUCACUCUCGAACCUCUCUUCUGACCCACGGAUGUUGCAGGUACCACCGUCUACCAUAGCUUUUCCUAGAUAUGUUCUGCGACUUCAUUCGUUGUCCACCACAUUGGAUAGCGACGGGACGACUGCAACUUGGCUGCUAAAGAUGGGGCUAGCAUUGGAGAGGGGAUUUUGUUGCUUUUUGCCGGAGAUUCCACUGUUUUCUUUCCCGAUUAGAUCUGGGCUGGUAUGAAGGCAGCUGCUAUCAUCACUCUGUUUUCCUUUUAGAACUCUUUUUCCGCUGUGAUCUUCAUUUGAGUUACUAAGUGGACAAGGGAGUUGAUCAAACUUAGGGCCCGGCUGGUUGGCUCGAAGCAAUCAUCGCCAACUUCUUGGUUCAGAUCCACCUCAUAAGUAAUCACAUGGCGUAUAGGUAGUUGAAGUGCGGCAACAUCAAAUUCACUCACCAGAUCCAUUGAUCCCCUAUCAUCUAUGGUCGGUCUGCAUGAUAGUGGAGGAUGCUUUAAGCGCUGUCUGAUAAGGGUGGUUUGGUCUAAUCCACUGGUUGGGUGCAGGGGUCGCCAUUCCCAGGUUAGAUAAGGAAUUAUGGGAGUGGUAUCAAUACGAUCAAUCAUAUGGCCGUGGCUCAUCAUUGAAUUACAUAUUUUACACUGUAUGUCCAGAAGAAAAACCCUUUAUUAUUAAGUACCUUUCAACUUCUAUGUCUUAUAUGUAGCUUAAGUACCUUGUCUGUUUGAUGUGCUAUCAAUACGAUCAAUCAUACGGCCGUGGCUCAUCAUUGAAUUACAUAUUUUACACUGAAUGUCCAGAAUAAAAACCCUUUAUUAUUA